GCUGCUGGGAGCAGGCAUGGAGAGGGGCUUAGAUCCAUAGUUAACUGGAUCUUUACUAGUCAGCUUUGGAGAAGGGGAGGCUUCAUUCUCACAGGCUUGGGAUCUGAUGCUGGAUCACCCCAAGAGGUGUGGAAGAAAGGGCUUUAACUUCUGGGGAUAAAAGCAGCACUGACAGGGGGGUGGGAGGUUAGCUGUGUUGAGACCUUAAGUGAGUUGAUCCUGCUUACUUGGUUUGAUGAUGGGCAUCUGUGUCCCAGUGGGAGUUAGCUUCAACUGGAACCUGGGUAGCUGAAGGCACCUGAUGAUGGGAAGGGGGUGGUAUGUCAGACUCUUCUCUCAGGCUAAACAUGAAAUGCCAUCUGCUGUGUAAAUAGUUGUUCUGAAUUCUGUUUCUAAACUGCACCGCUUACUUGCCUUGCAAGUGGUGUGAGUAGGUGUCUGCAUAUUCCCUGGGGAGCUGGCUGUUGUGAUGAGGAACUUCCAUUUUAAAACAAACUCCCAGGCUUUGCAUCAUGGGGGAUUAUGUUGACUUCUGGCCAGAAAUGAUUGUGCUACUCAGUGUAGGUUCUUGGUAUGAGCCUGUUUAUCCUUAGUUAAGGUGGAUUACUUGAAGUUACAGUGCAUACUUUGGACAUUGGAGGUGUUAAUGCCAAUCCUCAGGAGUACUGGUGCAUGUACUGUCACCAUAACUGGGUGGUGUUCUCAUCAGGGGUGCUGUUGAGUGCACUGACUGAUAAAAGGCACAUUCAAGGUUCAUGUGUUCUCAGAGGUACGGCUUGCUGGGCACUGACUCAACAUACUAAGGCAGCCAUGGUCAUGGUUUUUGUGGCCUCUGCUGUGUGGAGAGAGUGUUGCUCAGGGUUUGCAAGAUGGGAGCAACCAGCAGUCCACAGGCUGCUCAGCUGUGCACUGAAUCUUGCUGGUUUCUGCACAGAGAAACUUUUCACGCCUCAUUUUGGGUCUUUGUUACAGAAAUUACAUUAAUCUUCGGUGAUGUCUUCAGCAACCCCUUCCAACAUGUGCCAGUGGGACAGUUACAAGUCCAGGGAGAGACUCGAGAAACAUAGCUGAACACAUUAGACUAGAGCAAAGUGAAUGUCAUUACCCCACAUGCCUGUGGAUGCAGCUGUACGAGGCUUCUGUCAAAUCACCUGCUACUCCAUCCCUUCCUGCGUGAAGUUGGGCUGUAGAAGAAUAUUUCAACUACCCUAAUAGUUAAAAAAACGCCUGCUAGCUGUUUAUUGUUCAAGCAUUCCUGCUGCUUCCCAGUAGUUAAUGGAGGAAAUGCCAUGGGAGCCAAGGGAGAAACUGGUCAAGGGAAGCAGAAUAAAUUAGUAUCAUUGUUUCACCCUGGCUCAUCCUGGGCCAUCCAGUUGUUUCACAUGAGCAUUGGAGCUGGGAGUUUGCAUUCAGGUGUGGCCAAGAGAACUGGAUCUUGGCUCUAAAGCUGCUGCUCCCUUCGGUGGGAUGCAGGAGGUGGGAUGGCUGAAGGGCAUGGCUGGAGAAAGGAGCAUGCUCCCAUGCAGCGGGCCUGGGUGUUGUGUGAGCAUACUGCUGGUAGCCUGCCAGGGCUGCUGCUGACCUGGUGGAGAAGCUGCCUGUUUCAUCCCGAGGCAAAGCACGCCUUUUCCUUCCUUCAGCCGCUUCCUGGAAGGUCUUAGUUCCUAAAAGAACUUAAUAUAACUUGAGCUCAGUCCUGUAGUUGCCCAAAGGCUCUGUUCCAUCAGAUGUGCCCGACAGGAGCAGUGGUGCUUGAUUUAUGUCAGAUUUCACUUUCUCUUGGCCCACAAUACCAGGCAUGACUUCAACAUCUUGUGUCCAUAUUUUGCUCAGACUCUGACAUGAGCUUGGGAGAGCUGAUCUGGGCAGCAGAAGGUUACCCAGUCCCUUGCCUAACUUCCAGCUGUGGAUGCUGUACAUCUACAAAGGGCAAUUACACCUUCAACUGAGUGCAUGGAUGAAAGGAAGGAAAAGGCUGCUCAAACUGGCAGGUUCUCCUAACCAUGUGUCCUUCUGGCAGCUGUGGAUGCGAUGGGGAUAGAAGCCCAGGACAGCCCAGUGAUGGAUAAGGUCUUCUGGAUGUUCUUUUCGGUUUUUGCAAAAGCCUUGUGAAGAAACUGCAAGGUCUCAGCAAGAAGACUGAUUUUGCAUCGGAUCCAAGCCUCAGAGAGCCUCAAGCCCUGAGCUACUGCCAACCCACAGGGAAUGAGUCUGAAGGGAAGAAUAAUGUGCUCACCAGUUACAUAGCUGGUAAUUUAUCCACUGGAAGGGAGAGGUCUCCAGGAGCCAAAGAAAUCAGCUCCACAGACACCUGACCUAGGGACUAUUGCAGGACUGUCUCCAGAUUUUUCUUUGAAGAUGACACACCAGGAAAGUGUACCUAUACCAACCGAAGCACCCAGACCACUAUGCUGAAGAGUUUGGCAUGCAUUUUCAAUUGUGAAGAUUCAGGUGUGCACUGAUACAACUCGUCCAAACUCAACAGAGCUGAUCCUGAUGUACACAAGGACACUCAUAUUCAGAUUACCCAGCUCUCCCCCUCCUCUUCCCCUCAAGGUCUUUCUGCUCAUGUCAUGUGGAAUGGCAUAAGUUCAGGUAUGGAUCAGAGAGACUUUGAAAUGGAAAAUCAGAGGAUACUGCAGGCCAUAUUGGAGAAGAGCUGGCAGAGUGGUGAGGGUUAGGACUAAGAUAGGCUUGUAUGGGGUGCUGUGUUUGGAGUCCCAGAGGCCAAAAAUAAUGAAUACUUGCAGAACUCCGUGUGAGUAACAAAUGGCUUAUCCUGUCUAGUCUAAUGAUAAAAUGUUACAUAGUGGGAUUUUAAAAAUAAAUAUGUUUGGUUUGGGUUUUUUUUGUUUGUGGAGUUUUUUUUGUUGUGUGUUUUUUUUUUUUUUAAGAAAGAUUAAAGCAACCGCUAUAGCUAAACACACUGCUUUGCUCUGAUAAGAUGCCAGAAUUACACGACUUCUACUGUGUAACACGGUUCUUCGUGUGGGCGUAGCAGCCCCUCCCCAUACCUAGCGGAUACACUGUAGGGAAUUUUUGCAAAUGUGAGUAUUGCCUCUUGUAAGGUCAUCGACUAAAGAAAGUUAAAUACAUU